UACUCACUGGAGUGAGAUCCUUGUCCAGUUUCGACAAUUCAGUCCUGCAGGGGUAGUCAACAGUUAUUUCUGGAUUAGUUACAUUUCUCUCUGCACUUUUAGAGGAUUCAUCUGAGCAAUAGAUUCAACUGUCACAUAGAUAUAUUCAGCAGAAUAUAUACCCAAGAGGUGAAAAUAAACUGCCCAGUCUCCUGAAUCAAAGCUGUGAGAAAGGAACAUGUCAAGAUAGCAAUGGAACAAGAUAAUGGGUGUAAAAUGACAAAAACCAGGAAACCUCUUACUGAAUGAGUCCAAGCAUUAUCACAAGGAAAAAAGAGUCUAUUGCGCAUAGAAAAGGCAACUAAAACUGGAGAAAAUAGUGUGCCAGAAAUACUUAAUUUGAAGAUACUAAAUGAA